AUUGAACGCUGGCGGCAUGCUUUACACAUGCAAGUCGAACGGCAGCACGGGGGCAACCCUGGUGGCGAGUGGCGAACGGGUGAGUAAUGCAUCGGAACGUGCCCUGUCGUGGGGGAUAACACAUCGAAAGAUGUGCUAAUACCGCAUACGACCCGAGGGUGAAAGCGGGGGACCGUAAGGCCUCGCGCGAUAGGAGCGGCCGAUGUCUGAUGAGCAAGUUGGUGGGGUAAAGGCAUACCAAGGCGACGAUCAGUAGCUGGUCUGAGAGGACGACCAGCCACACUGGGACUGAGACACGGCCCAGACUCCUACGGGAGGCAGCAGUGGGGAAUUUUGGACAAUGGGGGCAACCCUGAUCCAGCCAUGCCGCGUGCGGGAAGAAGGCCUUCGGGUUGUAAACCGCUUUUGGCAGGAACGAAACGGUGCGGGCGAAUACCCUGUGCUAAGGACGGUACCUGCAGAAUAAGCACCGGCUAACUACGUGCCAGCAGCCGCGGUAAUAC
rnacentral:rRNA from 1 species